rnacentral:rRNA from 1 species
UAGUGGCGGACGGGUGAGUAACGCGUGAGAAUCUGCCCUCAGGAGGGGGAUAACGGUUGGAAACGACCGCUAAUACCCCAUAUGCCUAUUGGUGAAAUGAAGUUCGCCUGAGGAUGAGCUCGCGUCUGAUUAGCUUGUUGGUGAGGUAAUGGCUCACCAAGGCUUCGAUCAGUAGCUGGUCUGAGAGGAUGAUCAGCCACACUGGGACUGAGACACGGCCCAGACUCCUACGGGAGGCAGCAGUGGGGAAUUUUCCGCAAUGGGCGAAGGCCUGACGGAGCAACGCCGCGUGAGGGACGAAGGCCUCUGGGCUGUAAACCUCUUUUCUCAAGGAAGAAGAUAUGACGGUACUUGAGGAAUAAGCCACGGCUAAUUCCGUGCCAGCAGCCGCGGUAAUACGGGAGUGGCAAGCGUUAUCCGGAAUUAUUGGGCGUAAAGCGUCCGCAGGCGGCUUUUCAAGUCUGCUGUUAAAGCGUGGAGCUUAACUCCAUCAUGGCAGUGGAAACUGAAAGGCUUGAGUAUGGUAGGGGCAGAGGGAAUUCCCGGUGUA